rnacentral:rRNA from 1 species
UACGAAGGGGGCUAGCGUUAAUCGGAAUUACUGGGCGUAAAGGGUGCGUAGGCGGUUGUUUAAGUCUGUCGUGAAAUCCCCGGGCUCAACCUGGGAAUGGCGAUGGAUACUGGGCAGCUAGAGUGUGUCAGAGGAUGGUGGAAUUCCCGGUGUAGCGGUGAAAUGCGUAGAGAUCGGGAGGAACAUCAGUGGCGAAGGCGGCCAUCUGGGACAACACUGACGCUGAAGCACGAAAGCGUGGGGAGCAAACAGG